rnacentral:rRNA from 1 species
AGAGAGAGACAUGCGCGCAUAUCAAUAAGCGGAGGAAAAGAAACUAACAAGGAUUCCCCUAGUAACGGCGAGUGAAGCGGGAAGAGCUCAAAUUUGAAAUCUUAAAGGGUUUCCCUUUACGAAUUGUAGUUUAAAGAAGUGUUUUCUGUUGAGGUUUUGGUAAAAGUUCUUUGGAAUAGGACAUCAUAGAGGGUGAGAAUCCCGUAUUUGACCUUUACUUUCAACUUUGUGAUACACUUUCAAGGAGUCGGAUUGUUUGGGAAUGCAGUCCAAAAUGGGUGGUAAAUUUCAUCUAAAGCUAAAUAUUGGCGAGAGACCGAUAGCGAACAAGUACCGUGAGGGAAAGAUGAAAAGAACUUUGAAAAGAGAGUUAAACAGUACGUGAAAUUGUCAAAAGGGAAGCGUUUGACACCAGUGUUGUUUUUCUGAAAAUCAAUUAAAGAACUGUUUAUGCUAAGCUGUUUAGACUUUAUCAGCUAACUGUUUAGUUUUGAGCUUUUCUUUAAUGCACUUUUCAGUUAACAAGUCAACAUCAAUUUCUUUUGCUGUAAAAAAGCUUGAGGAAGGUGGCUUGAGAUUCGUCUUAAGUGUUUAUAGCCUCUUGCCUAUGCAGUCGGAGAGAUUGAGGUCUGCAGCGUAGAUCCUUCGGGGCUAAAUGCAUUUGUGCUAAGUUAUAGCAUUUUAUAGACAACUUGUUGACUAUGAUUUGUCUUGUAGCUUACUCGCUUAUGUUAUUUUACCUACGCUUAGGAUGUUGAGCGCAUGUCUCUCUCU